rnacentral:tRNA from 1 species
GAGGGUGUGGCUAAGUGGUAGAGUACUUGUGUACAAAGCACAAGGCCUUGGGUUCAAUCCCCAGCACCAUUU